GCCUGGGUAGCUCAGUCGGUUAAGCGUCUGACUUCAGCUCAGGUCAUGAUCUCAUGGUUUGUGGGUUCGAGCCCCGCAUCAGGCU
rnacentral:tRNA from 1 species